UCAGGGUGAUGUAGAGAGUGAGAAAGUCUUCCCUGAGACUCCUUUUCUAAACACUUCCAGCUCCCUCUGUCUCUCCUCCCAUGACCUACUCAAGACUCAGCUUCAUUGCCCCUCCCUGGAAUCCCCUUUUCACUUUGCCUAAGACAGCUACACAUAUCAUAUGAGUAAUAAAAUAUUCCCAAAGAUUCUCCUGCCAGGCCACCAGGUAUAAAAAUAACAGGAAAAGCCCAAGGCAAGAGGAUGAGGAUAGUAUGGAUCAGGAAUGAGUGUUGCCAUCUCUUCCCUUUGCACCUGCCUUGCCUCCCUGAUCUGCCUGCUCUGCUUCUGGCCAGGAUGCAUGGUAACAUGGUAGAGGUCCCACAGUUGCACGACUUUGCUGCCAUCAGGAAGUCUCAGAUAAACUCAAAGGAGCUCUGCUUUGUGGAAGGAAUGAAAACACAUCAAUUUUCACUCAACUGAUUCACAUGGGGUCAGGGUUUUGCCUUCCUUUCCACAGCUCUUUCAGGUAACAAGCAACAGAACGAGAGGAAAUGGCCUCAAGUAGCCCCA